rnacentral:rRNA from 1 species
UACGUAGGUGACAAGCGUUGUCCGGAUUUACUGGGCGUAAAGAGCGCGCAGGCGGUCGUUCAAGUCGAGUGUGAAAGCCCCCGGCUCAACUGGGGAGGGUCAUUCGAUACUGAUCGACUCGAAGGCAGGAGAGGGUAGUGGAAUUCCCGGUGCAGUGGUGAAAUGCGUAGAUAUCGGGAGGAACACCAGUGGCGAAGGCGACUACCUGGCCUGUUCUUGACGCUGAGGCGCGAAAGCUAGGGGAGCAAACGGG